AGAGUUUGAUCCUGGCUCAGGACGAACGCUGGCGGCGUGCUUAACACAUGCAAGUCGAACGGAGCACCCUUGAAAGAGAUUUCGGUCAAUGGAUAGGAAUGCUUAGUGGCGGACGGGUGAGUAACGCGUGAGGAACCUGCCUUUCAGAGGGGGACAACAGCUGGAAACGGCUGCUAAUACCGCAUAACACAUAGGUGUCGCAUGGCAUUUAUGUCAAAGAUUUAUCGCUGAGAGAUGGCCUCGCGUCUGAUUAGCUAGUUGGUAGGGUAACGGCCUACCAAGGCGACGAUCAGUAGCCGGACUGAGAGGUUGGCCGGCCACAUUGGGACUGAGAUACGGCCCAGACUCCUACGGGAGGCAGCAGUGGGGAAUAUUGGGCAAUGGGCGCAAGCCUGACCCAGCAACGCCGCGUGAAGGAAGAAGGCUUUCGGGUUGUAAACUUCUUUUAAGAGGGAAGAGUAGAAGACGGUACCUCUUGAAUAAGCCACGGCUAACUACGUGCCAGCAGCCGCGGUAAUACGUAGGUGGCAAGCGUUGUCCGGAUUUACUGGGUGUAAAGGGCGUGUAGCCGGGCCGGCAAGUCAGAUGUGAAAUCCCAAGGCUCAACCUUGGAACUGCAUUUG
rnacentral:rRNA from 1 species